rnacentral:rRNA from 1 species
UGGGGAAUUUUGGACAAUGGGCGAAAGCCUGAUCCAGCAAUGCCGCGUGCAGGAUGAAGGCCUUCGGGUUGUAAACUGCUUUUGUACGGAACGAAACGGCGAGCUCUAAUAAAGUUUGCUAAUGACGGUACCGUAAGAAUAAGCACCGGCUAACUACGUGCCAGCAGCCGCGGUAAUACGUAGGGUGCGAGCGUUAAUCGGAAUUACUGGGCGUAAAGCGUGCGCAGGCGGUUAUAUAAGACAGAUGUGAAAUCCCCGGGCUCAACCUGGGACCUGCAUUUGUGACUGUAUAGCUAGAGUACGGUAGAGGGGGAUGGAAUUCCGCGUGUAGCAGUGAAAUGCGUAGAUAUGCGGAGGAACACCGAUGGCGAAGGCAAUCCCCUGGACCUGUACUGACGCUCAUGCACGAAAGCGUGGGGAGCAAACAGGAUUAGAUACCCAAGUAGUCCCUGAGCGGGCUGGCAAGGCGCAU